GGAACAUUUAAGUUUUUAUUUGCUGAUUGUGAACACGUUAAAACUGACAUAAUAAUGAAAAAAUAUUAAAUUGCUUCCAGAUUCUUCAAUUGUUACUAAACAUUGUGAUAUUUAUACGGUAUUGUUAACAUGAGCUGUCUGUGUUAUGUUUUCAUUUCCUUGUGUUUAACAGACAUUCUAGAAACAGCUGAGUUUCUUAUAAUUAGCUGUUGAACCUACUUCGAUAAAUAUUUCACGCUUUUCAUUGUUUUGGUAGGUAGUUACGUAUUAUACAAAAUUACAAUUAAUAUCAACAGUUGCUCUUAGGCUAUCACAGCUAAUUGAAAGUUUUGCAGAAAUAAUCAGAAAUUAAGGCAACUAGUUAGGUAUGUAGGUAGGUACUACCUACUACCUAUUUCCUAAUGAUUUUUUUAUUUAUCGACUAAGUAAUGUAUACUUAACGGCUAAAAUUGAACGUGAUGAAGAACAUUCCAGAAAUGUCGGCCGAUGCGUCCUGAAAAACUAGAGUAACUCUCAUUUAAGGUAUGUUUGAAUUUAAAAUUUCCUUAUUGAUAAUAAUGUAAUUCAAAUUUAAUAUUGCAAUAUUUUUUUUUUGAUACUUAAUCGUCAUUGUCGGAAAUGAAAUAAAGAAAGUAAACCGAGGCGCCAUUUCUUCAAUUAUCCUUUCACCAAGAAUAAACAUUGCUAAUAGGUAUGCAAAUACGUGUAAAUAAACUAGAUUUAAUCAAUUUAUUAGCUCAUAUUUAGGUCAAGUACUUCGCUAUUAUCAAAUAGAGGAUAUGCCAUAAAAGACAAAGUCAUUCAAUUUCAAUAACAAUUAGGUAUUAUGCGCGAAUGGCAAUACGAUUUAUUAAAAGGGAAAACGAUGGACGGCUCAAUUAUAAAUUUUAAUUACUGGCUUUAAGGUUGAAAAUUAUUUUUCCACUAUAUAUGCCACAAUACUAAUUGUCCUUGUAAACUUUUGCCAUUAAUGCAAAAAACUGUAAAUAAGUUUGUCUCUACAUUGCAGACUAAUUGGAUUGCCGUUUAUAAUUUAUACCUAUAUUUUUAUAUCCAAAAUAAGGAGGUAUAUUUUGUAUCUAAUCUUUCCAAAGUUUAUUAUCUGCCUUAUAUAUUUUUUAAUAUAAUAUCUACUAUGUAAAUGGUUGUAUAAAGGUUUUCUGUCACCGAAGCGAAGCGAAACGAAAUGUAGUUCAUUGAUAAAUAUUGUGGUAGGUUCUUAUACGU